GGGUUUGAUCCUGGCUCAGGAUGAACGUUGGCGGCGUGCUUAACACAUGCAAGUCGAGCGUCGAACUUGCCGACAUUGGUUUUCGGAUCAGUGAAGGCAGGGGAAAGCGGCGAACGGGUGAGUAACACUUGGGUAACCUUCCCCUUGGACUGGAAUAACUCCGAGAAAUCGGGGCUAAUGCCGGAUAUUCUCCUCUGGUGGCAUCAUCGGGGGAGCAAAGGUCUGUCGCAAGACAGGCCACCGAGGGAUGGGCUUGAGUUCUAUCAGCUAGUUGGCGGGGUAACGGCCCACCAAGGCUAAGACGGAUAGCUGGUCUGAGAGGACGGCCAGCCACAAGGGGAUUGAGAAACGGCCCCUACUCCUACGGGAGGCAGCAGUGAGGAAUCUUGGACAAUGCCCGAAAGGGUGAUCCAGCGACGCCGCGUGGGUGAUGAAGGUCUUCGGGUCUUAAAACCCUGUCUAGCGGGAAGAAAUCCGCCUUGUGCGGAGUGACGGUACCGCUGGAGGAAGCCCCGGCUAAUCCCGUGCCAGCAGCCGCGGUAAGACGGGAGGGGCGAACGUUAUCCGGAAUUAUUGGGUGUAAAGGGUCCGUAGGUUGAUGAAUGUGUCGGAUUUGAAAUCCUCUGGCUUAACCAGAGAAUCGGGUCCGAAACUAUUCAUCUAUGAGUCCAUAGGAGGAAGACGGAACUGCCAGUGUAGCGGUGAAAUGCGUAGAUAUUGGCAGGAACACCAGUUGCGAAGGCGGUUUUCUACUAUGGUACUGACACUGAGGGACGAAAGCGUGGGGAGCGAUCGGGAUUAGAUACCCCGGUAGUCCACGCUGUAAACGAUGGGUGCUGGGUGUUGGUCCGGUCAACCGGAUCGGUGCCGAAGCUAACGCGUUAAGCACCCCACCUGGGGACUACGGCCGCAAGGCUGAAACCCAAAGGAAUUGACGGGGGCCCGCACAACCGGUGGAGUAUGUGGUUUAAUUCGAUGAUACGCGAGGAACCUCACCUAGGCUUGACAUGUUGGUAGUAGAAUCUCGAAAGGGAAACGAUCCACUUCGGUGGAAGCCAUCACAGGUGGUGCAUGGCUGUCGUCAGCUCGUGCCGUGAGGUGUUGGGUUAAGUCCCGGAACGAGCGCAACCCCUGCUUGUAGUUACUCGCCGAAAGGCAGCACUCUACGAGGACCGCCGUGGUUAACACGGAGGAAGUUGGGACGACGUCAAGUCAUCACGCCCCUUAUGUCUAGGGCUACACACGUACUACAAUGGUCGGUACAAAGGGAUGCCAAGCCGCGAGGCGGAGCAAAUCCCAAAAAGCCGGCCCCAGUUCGGAUUGCAGGCUGCAACUCGCCUGCAUGAAGCUGGAAUCGGUAGUAAUCGCGGAUCAGCCAGGCCGCGGUGAAUACGUUCUCGGGCCUUGUACACACCGCCCGUCAUGCCAACUGAGUCAAGGAUACCUGAAGACAUCUUCGGAUGGAUAAGGUAUGCUGGGCAAGGAGGGCAAAGUCGUA
rnacentral:rRNA from 1 species